ACCGCCCGUCCACACCAUGAGAGUCGAUAACACCCGAAGCCUGUGAGCUAACCGUAAGGAGGCAGCAGUCGAAGGUGGGGUUGAUGAUUGGGGUGAAGUCGUAACAAGGUAUC
rnacentral:rRNA from 1 species